rnacentral:rRNA from 1 species
CCUACGGGAGGCAGCAGUGGGGAAUAUUGCACAAUGGGCGAAACCCUGAUGCAGCUACGCCGCGUGAAGGAAGACGGCUCUCGGGUUGUAAACCUCUGUUCUUAGUGAAGAAUAAUGACGGUAGCUUAGGAGCCAGUCACGGCUAACUACGUGCCAGCAGCCGCGGUAAUACGGAGGGUGCAAGCGUUGUCCGGAAUUACUGGGUGUAAAGGGAGCGCAGGCGGGAAGCCAAGUCAGCUGUGAAACCUACGGGCUUAACCUGUAGACUGCAGUUGAAACUGGUUGUCUUGAGUGAGGUAGAGGUUGGCGGAAUUCCGAGUGUAGCGGUGAAAUGCGUAGAUAUGCGGAAGAACACCGAUGGCGAAGGCAGCCAACUGGGCUUUAACUGACGCUGAGGCUCGAAAGUGUGGGGAGCAAACAGGAUUAGAUACCCCUGUAGUC